GACCAUCUGGAAGCAGGAAAUACUGUCAAUGAGACUUUCAGAAAUCAGCAGUAUGAAAUAGAUGAGAAGACAGGAGGGUAGAAUCUCCUGUGGUUUGCAGCAGUUAUGGGACUGCAGUCUCACAAACCCUCUAGAUACUUCCAAAAUUGGAAGCUAAACAAUCUCCCACAAGUUUCACCUGCUGGAUUUGAGACUGGGAGUUUGAAUGGUAACUGAGUUGCAACUUCACUGAGGAGGAUUGUAGCUGCUAUGUGAUAAUCAAAUUUGGUUUGCUUGACACAUAAUGGGAUUAUUGAUUAGACACCCGCAGCUUGUCAUUUCAAAUCACAUCUCCUCUUCAUUUCGAAGGAAUGAGUGACAUAGCCUAACAUGCUCAGCAUCAUUAAAUGGAAGCAGUUA